UAACACGUGGGUAACCUGCCUGUAAGACUGGGAUAACUCCGGGAAACCGGAGCUAAUACCGGAUAGUUCCUUGAACCGCAUGGUUCAAGGAUGAAAGACGGUUUCGGCUGUCACUUACAGAUGGACCCGCGGCGCAUUAGCUAGUUGGUGAGGUAACGGCUCACCAAGGCGACGAUGCGUAGCCGACCUGAGAGGGUGAUCGGCCACACUGGGACUGAGACACGGCCCAGACUCCUACGGGAGGCAGCAGUAGGGAAUCUUCCGCAAUGGACGAAAGUCUGACGGAGCAACGCCGCGUGAGUGAUGAAGGUUUUCGGAUCGUAAAGCUCUGUUGUUAGGGAAGAACAAGUGCAAGAGUAACUGCUUGCACCUUGACGGUACCUAACCAGAAAGCCACGGCUAACUACGUGCCAGCAGCCGCGGUAAUACGUAGGUGGCAAGCGUUGUCCGGAAUUAUUGGGCGUAAAGGGCUCGCAGGCGGUUUCUU
rnacentral:rRNA from 1 species